rnacentral:rRNA from 1 species
UACAGAGGGGGCAGGCGUUAUUCGGAAUUAUUGGGCGUAAAGGGCGCGUAGGCGGCCUUUCAAGUGACGGGUGAAAUCCCUCGGCUUAACCGAGGAACUGCCUGUCAGACUGGGAGGCUUGAGACCGGGAGAGGUGAGUGGAAUUCCCAGUGUAGCGGUGAAAUGCGUAGAUAUUGGGAGGAACACCAGUGGCGAAGGCGGCUCACUGGACCGGAACUGACGCUGAGGCGCGAAAGCGUGGGGAGCAAACAGG